CGAGUAGCGAAUAAUUCGCCGCGAAGUGUCGAAUAAUUCGCCACGAAUAGUUUGUGAGUGUCACAUCUGUAUGGUUGCAUGUCAACAAUAGAAAAUCUUGAAAUCUUUGUAAUGGACGACGAGUCGGUUAUAAACUGGACUUGGUAUAACCACCAACUGCAGUGGUUAUUGCAUAUGUACAAUAUGUACAAUAAGCAAAUUAUUAUUAUAUUGUACAGAAAAGAAAAGCUGCUGCAGUUGCAGCUACACUUUUACAUUUGAGAAAAAGUGGAAAAAAAAGAUAUUGUAAAAGAAAUAUUGGAUAGCACCCAUUUUUUAAGAAAGGAAAGUGCAUGGAUUCUUUCAUGCUGUGCUACCUAAACUCGUUUUAGAAGAUUUGAGAUUUAAUAAUUACAUACGCAUGUCUGCAACUCAAUUUGAAAAGUUAACAUUCUUAGUUGGAGCAGACAUAUUCGCUCCUUGCGAAUAUUCGCUACAAGCUGAAACUUUUCAGCGAACAGCGAUUACUCGCUAGCGAACAGCGAAUGAUCACGUGACCUUCAUUCGCGGCAAUUAUUUCGCUGCAUGAAACGGCACCUUCAUGGUAUACCAUGGAAACACUGCUAGAUAUCACCACGGCCUCAUGUUAAAAUCGAGGUAGUAGUACGACUCGACGGCAAAACGUUCGCAACUCUAUUUUCACCAAUUUUCAAUAAAUAGUAUUGUUCAACGACGAGAUGGACUUUCGAAUACAACUCAACAGCGACUCGAGAAAGCUUAUUAUAUAAUAUAUAAUUAUAAAUAUUAUAACAAUUAUUAGAAAGUUUAUGAAAUAUAAAAGUGAUUAUAAUGUUCAAUAAAUGAAACAAAUUUUUCAUUAGUACGAAAAAUUAGUAUUAAAAGUAAGUUUUUUUUAUUUAUCCCACCAACCAAACCGCUCACAAAGAGUCCUGGAACUAAAAGGCGCAUUACGUCAGGACUCUCCGCCGGUUCCACGCUCCCGGCUAAAAAGGGUGAUUUUGUACGAUCUACGUCCCCUGCCCCCAAGAGGUUCGGCCACCACCCCCGCCCACCCGGACUGCGCUCGUCCAAAAUGCCGUGCAUCCCUGUCGAGACCAGGCAGAAUGCCCCACGGGUGGGUCAUGCUGCCGAGUCGGUGACACUAAAACCGCGCCCGAGGAUGGAAGGGUAGGAAACCCGCGGGUCCGAGAACCCCGGCGGGAGGAAGGGAAGGGAAGGGUAGGAGGUCCGCGGGUCCGAGAGCUCCGGCGGGAGGAAGGGAAGGAGGCCCGCGCGGGUCCGAGAGCCCCGGCGGAACAAAAUUACAAUACAUAUUAUUAUUAACAAGUAAUAACAGAAAUAAGAUAAAAGUGUACGCAAGUGUAACAAAGCCAGUAAGCACAGAUACAAUACACACAAAUAUAAUAAAAGCCAAUAAG